UGUUAUCGCCUGGAAGAUAAGGAUAGGACAAUAGUUGUCGUGGUGGUGGAAGUGGUCGUAGCGGUGGUGGCAUGGGAAACUGAUUGUAAAAAUAGUGGGGCGGGGGGUGAGGCACCCAUUCGGGAGGUAGGUUUCUAUCAUUGCGCCUCAUUUUAUAAAAAAUGACAAAGAACUGAUAAGUUUGUUUUCAGAAGACUAAAAGGACGCUGAUGACUCACUGGCUGGCUGGAAAAACUAACUAACUAACCAACUUUAAAACCCUAACGAAUAUAAAGUCCAACCACACAAGCUCAAAUUACACUCUACACGUAGCAGUGGUGUUUUCAACAAAAUAUCAAUACAGCUUCAAAUUACAACGGAUUCUUAUUACAACCACUAAAAACCUUGGAAACUAAUCACCUUCAAAAACAAUGGUCUGGGUUGGAGGAGUCCAUUAGUGGCGUUUUACUUUUGUCCGAAAAUAAGACCAACCUUCAACAGUCAAUGGACACCCAGUUGGCCAAAUUAAUACUUUCAGAUCAAUUUUUGAAAU